CAUAGUGGCGGCUGCUGCGUGCGAUGUCAGUGGAACCGGAAGACAGUGUGGUGUGACACGCGGCGCAAUGGUGGAUAGUUGGUGUAUAUAAGAACAUCUGAACAGAAGGGUGGAUGGAAAAGACAGCUGUUCUUAUUCAGAUCUGGAAGAUGCUGUGAAAGUGGGUCACCAGACAUUUCUGGAUUGCAGUUCCACUCCCUGCCAGAAGUGCUGCUCUUUGGACAUUGUUGCAGAUCAGGUGCCUGGUGAGUGAUCGCUUAAUCAGCAAAGUCUGGACACCUGUCAUCUGGCUUUUAAAGUCUGUUUGAGGCCAACACCCUUUGCUGGUCAUUAUGUUUCCUGGUCCUAUGUAAGGAGGUUUCGGAUCUGGAGCUGUCCUUGUUAUACCUGUUUGCCUGUCUGCUAAACACCCUGCAAAGGCCAAGCUGUGGUUAUUCUUGGAUUCCUGGCCUGCCUACAUCCUGCAAUGUCUGCCAUAGCUGUUUAUACCUGUAAUUCUAUUAUCUGCAAAAUAUUCUGUUUACUAGAUUCUAUUAAUUUAUGCAUAUACCUGGAUAAUCCAUUUACCAGCAUUACCCGAGUCUGCAAGUAUCCAGUGUUCUACUGUAGUUUUUGUCAUUUCUGCAUGUAUACCUGGACUAUUUACUACCUGCUUUGCCUCAGUUUUGCAAAUACUCUGUUUUUAUUAUUCUUUCAAUAAACACCCUGAAUUACCA